rnacentral:misc_RNA from 1 species
UGUACAGAUUUGAAGCGAGUUGUGAUUCGAAAGUCUUCCAGUUUGGUCUACCGGUCUCAGACGAGAGAUCUACGGGCGUGAGGUGCGAGUGGUCUAUCGUUGGAGAGUCGCGCUCGGCUCCAGGUCGGAAAGGCGAACGCGGAUUGACAAAGGCCGACGUCUUUUAGGGACAUUUUUCUCAAAAAAAAAAAGGAUCAAAGGAGAGAAACUCUGAAGGCAACGGAUCCGAGACACCUCCAAGUCACAAAACAAACAACAGCUGUCAGUCAAUCGAUUGUCCCAGCCUCGGGAGGUUAUCGUGUAGCUGUAGUUUGUCUAUUGAGGUUACCAAAAGAAGUUCCGUAAAUUCUCCGUCCGUUGGGAUUGCAAGUUGAAUCAAUGUUUUACGAGCAUCUCUUGCGUUUGGCCUGUUUCGACAAUACUUAAACACGCUGUGCGUUGAUAGGUGGACUUUUUCUCUUUUUAAGCUCGGAUUAUGGUGCACUGUUUGAGGGGCCGGGCCGAUUACACCGAAAUCGAGGGAGAGACAUAUCAGUUUUUAACCCGCCGAUUCGAUGAUGAACCCAAGAAAAAUGAAAGAUAGACUUGUGGCAAUUCGUUUACGAUUUUUCAUGAAAAUAGAAGAUUUAAUACCUGUAAAAGAAUUUAGACAGAAGUUAACAAAAUAUUCCAAGAUAUAAACGCGCAUCUCAAUGCCAGUUGAUGGUGAUCGCGGAAAUUUGGUAGAAAAUUCAGAAGCACAACGCAGCCCGGGCUCAAGGGUUGUAUUUAUCAACAAGCCUCAAACUGACAAGUUCGUAACCAAUAGGAUUACCACUGCAAAGUACAACAAGUACAACUUUAUCGCUUCGUUUCUUUUUGAACAAUUCCGAAGGUAUUCGAAUUGCUUUUUCCUCCUCAUCGCCUGCCUUCAGCAAAUCCCAGAUGUAUCUCCUACGGGAAGGUUCACGACUCUGGUACCACUUAUUUUCAUACUGUGCGUUUCUGCGCUCAAAGAGAUAAUAGAAGAUUAUAAAAGGCAUAAAGCUGAUGAUGAAACCAAUAACAGAUUAGUUGAAGUUUUAAUAGAUGGCAAAUGGGUUAAGGUACAAUGGCAAAAUGUUGAAGUCGGGAAUAUCAUCAAGGUGAAUAACAACUGCUUUUUCCCUGCAGAUCUUCUAGUCAUAUCUACAAGUGAGCCACAAGGUAUGUGCUACAUAGAAACAAUGAAUUUAGAUGGGGAAACAAAUCUUAAAAUAAGACAAGCUUUACCAAUAACAUCAACAUACUUGAACAGCCAAAUGCUUUCACAACUGUCAGCAACUAUAGAGUGUGAAAAACCCAACAAGAUGAUUUAUGAGUUUGUUGGAAACAUCACAAUCGAAGGAGAGCGUACGUUACCACUGGGUCCUGAAAAAAUUCUUCUUCGUGGAGCAAUGUUAAGGAAUACUAGCUGGAUAUUUGGAGCAGUAAUUUACACUGGUGCCCAGACCAAACUGAUGGUGAAUUCAUCAAGGGUACCUCUUAAAAGAUCAACUGUCGAUAAAAUAACAAAUACCCAAGUAGUUAUGUUGUUCUUCUUACUUAUAUUUUUGUGUGUGAUAUCAUCCCUUUACAAUGAACUAUGGACAAGACAAAACAAUUCGGCCUACUGGUAUCUCGGAAUUAAAGAUUUGGGAAAGAACUUCGCCUUCAACCUUUUAACCUUUCUCAUUUUGUACAACAAUCUUAUUCCAAUUUCACUUCAAGUGACAUUAGAAAUUGUUAGAUUUGUCCAGGCAGUCUUUAUAAAUAUGGACUUAGACAUGUAUCAUUUAGAAUCAGACACUCCUGCAAUGGCUCGGACAUCAAAUUUAAACGAAGAAUUAGGAAUGGUUAAGUACAUAUUUUCCGAUAAAACUGGUACUUUAACUCAAAAUAUAAUGGAGUUCAAGAAAUGCUCGGUGGCUGGUGUCAUUUAUGAUGCUGUGGGUAAAAAUGAAAACCCAAAAUCUCAUCCUCUUAUUAAGACUAUAACAGAAAUGCCGAACCAUCAGCCUGAUGAGAAGGCAGAAAAGAGCAUAAAUCAACAAAGUACAGCAAGAGAUUUCUUAACUCUGAUGUCAAUUUGCCAUACAGUCAUUCCUGAGAAAACACCCUCUGGUGAAGUUUUGUACCAUGCAUCUUCUCCAGAUGAAAGUGCACUUCUUCAAGGGGCUAGAAAUUAUGGUUUCGCCUUUGAUACAAGAUUGCCGAAUUCAGUUGAAAUAAUAGCUAUGGGAAAGAGGGAGACAUAUGAAAUUUUACAAGUAAUUGAAUUUACCAGUGCUAGGAAAAGAAUGUCAGUUAUAACUAAGACGCCUUCAGGAAAAAUAAUAUUGUUCUGCAAAGGAGCGGAUUCAGUUAUUUAUGACAGGUUAGCUCAAAGUGGACAGCAAUAUACAAAAGAAACGCUUAAACAUUUAGAGGCUUUUGCCAAUGAAGGUCUAAGGACUCUGUGCUUUGCCAUGGCAGAGCUUUCAAAUGAAGAAUACGAAAACUGGAAUAAAAUUUACUAUGAAGCCUCAAUUGCAGUACAAAACAGGGAAUUAAAACUAGAAGAGGCCGGUGAGUUAAUAGAAAAAAAAUUAAUACUUCUUGGGGCUACUGCAGUUGAAGACAGACUUCAAGAUAAGGUUCCAGAAACCAUUGCUGCAAUUAUUAAAGCUGGAAUUAAUCUUUGGGUAUUAACAGGAGAUAAACAAGAGACUGCUAUAAACAUUGGGUACUCUAGUAAAUUAUUGCAACAAGGCCAACCCCUAAUAAUAAUAAAUGAAACUUCUCUUGAAAUGGUGAGAGAAUGUAUUCUUCAUAAUUUAAAUACAUUAGACACUGCGGGUCAGUUUGCACUUAUUAUAGAUGGGCUCUCUUUAAAAUAUGCUUUGUUACCUGAACUGAGAGGAGAUUUCCUUAAAAUGUGUUUAGCUUGUAGGUCUGUGAUAUGCUGCAGGGUCUCGCCUAUGCAAAAAGCUGAGGUUGUGGGAUUGAUAACAAGCAAUACAAAAGGUGUAACGCUAGCAAUAGGUGAUGGUGCCAAUGAUGUAGCCAUGAUACAAAAAGCACACGUCGGGAUUGGCAUAUCUGGCCAGGAAGGCCUUCAAGCAGCUUGCGCAUCCGACUAUUCUAUUGCACAAUUCAGAUUUCUUAUAAAACUGCUAUUCGUCCAUGGAUCCUGGAAUUAUAACAGAAUGAUUAAAAUAAUUUUAUACAGUUUUUACAAAAAUAUUUGCCUUUAUGUAAUGGAGCUUUGGUUUGCAAUAUAUUCUGGCUGGUCUGGGCAAAUUUUGUUCGAAAGAUGGUCCAUAGGAAUGUACAAUGUUAUUUUCACAGCUUUCCCUCCUUUUGCGAUUGGAUUAUUUGACAAAGUGUGUUCAGCUGAUGUUAUGCUUCGUUAUCCAAAAUUAUACAGUCACAGGCCAAACUUUGGUGUAUUGACAUUCUGGAUAUGGAUUGGAAACGCUUUAGUACAUAGUAUAAUAUUGUUCUGGCUGCCGAUGUGGAUGCUUCAACAAGACACAGUUUGGCCGAAUGGAAGGGAGGGUGGAUACCUAGUACUAGGAAACUUUGUGUACACGUAUGUAGUGGUGGUUGUUUGUUUAAAAGCUGGCCUGCAUAUGAACUUCUGGACAGUUAUCACACAUCUUGCAAUCUGGGGUUCAAUUGCUGCAUGGUUCAUGUUCGUAAUUGCUUACAGUCAUGUGUGGCCAACAUUGCCUAUUGGAGCCAUAAUGUCCGGCAUGGACAUAAUGCUCUUUACAGCAAUUCCUUUUUGGUUAGGCUUGAUUAUUAUCCCAAUGGUAACACUUCUUCCUGAUAUUGCUAUUAUUGUAAUCCAAAGAACUCUUUUCAAGACCCUUAAAGAGGCUGUUAGAGAGCAAGAAAUAAAAAAUAAAGACCCAAAAAAUCUAUUGCAAGAAGGAAAACAAUCUGCCCCACCCACGACACAGGGAGCCGAUCCUCCAAGUGGUGAUGCACACCCUGAAUUUGUUUUUAAGCAUAAGAUGCUAAGAGAAGAUCCAAGAAUGACAGCUCAUUUAAAUUUACUAAUAACUGAUUACAAAAAUCCCAGUUCUUCCAACCCACUAAAAUCAAAAAAUAAUCAUCCCAAUGUGUCAAUGGCUUCCCGAUCUAAGAAAAGCCCCUCCGUUAGCCCAAACAGAAGCCCUUUUAGAUCACCCUCAUCUAAAACUGGUGCACAAACAAGCCCCACUAGAUCUAGGAUGUCAAAGAAAUAAAUAAGAACAUAUGAGCCUUAAAAGUAGAUCUUAUUCAACUCUACAAGAAGGUGUCAGAAGAUCAAGACAAAUUCAAAGAAGUUGAACAAGAACAAGAUAGAAUUCUAUCUUCGAAAUACUAGUCUGGCCCAUGGCCUGGAUUUUCUCUACCCGGUUGAGAAGAAGAACUGAAUUUUGACGUUGUUUAAAGAGUAGACAGAGAAAACCAAAGCGUUCGGGCUACACAAUUCAAGAACCUGAUUAAAAGUAACAAGAUAAGAAUUUUUCCCAGUACAUACAAAACUUGGCAGAAAGAAAAGUAUAUUGCCCUUAGUGCCAUUUAAUUCCUGUAUAUAUUAUGAACAUAACUGUAAAUAUAAUACUGAAUUCAUUUUAAUAAAAAGUAACGAAUUUCUG